GUACCUUGAGUUAAGUCCAGUACUUGAGUAAAUGUCCUCAGUUCCAGUCCACCACUAACUGAUUAAUUAACUGAAUGUGUAUCUGUUGUUUCCCUCCUGACCUCCAGGUGGUGACGUUCUUUCAUUUUAAACUUUUAAUCUGAAAAACCCUGACUGGGAGGAAACAGGAAGUCUGGUGUCUUCACUGUGAUGUGUGUCUGGCGGUGGGAUAGCUGUGUAGUUUGUUAUUAGUGAGUUUUAAGAAGACAGAGCUCCAGAAUCCAGAGUGAGUCCAGCAGCCCCAGUGGACAUCUGCUGGACUUCAGGACCAGAGAGGAAUGGAGGAGGACAACCAGAACCAGGAGCAGCGGAGCAACGAGGUCCCCAGAAGACAAGCAGCAGACUGGGACUCUGAUAGCAGCCAUGUUCAGGAGCCCUCAGCAGACGUCAAGCUGGUGACCGGAGCAGGAAAGAAGAGCAAGAAGGCCGAGGAAGAGGAGCAGCCUGCAGCACCUCCUGCAGCAGCGG